rnacentral:lncRNA from 1 species
GCAAAUGAAAUCUCUUUAUAAUAAUCUUUGUUUAAGAUAAUUUUCUUUUUAGUUUUGAUGUAAUUUCAGGAGCCCGCCUGAAGUACAAGACGAAUAAAUGAAAAGUCAAGUAACAAGGUGAAAGUUGAAAGUUAAGCAACAGAGUGAAGAAGUUGAAAGUUAAGCAACAAGGUGAAGAAAUUGAAAGUCAACAGAUUGAAAAAUUGCAAGUCAGGAACCCACCUGAAGAACAGGGUGAAGAAAUUAAAAAUCAAGCAACAAGUUGAAGAAAUUGCAAGUCAGGAGCCCGCUUGAAAAACAGGUUGAAGAAAUUGCAAGUCAGGAGCCCGCCUGAAGAAUAAGAUGAUGAAAUAGUAAGUAAAAAGUCAAAGAAGCUGUAUAGAAAGAAUUUUUGUAAUUUCAUUUGUGUUUUAACUUGUAAUUUUCAUUUUUGAUAUAAUGACAGAGCCGCAGACCGGAACCUCGAUGGGACCUCACUCAACUCUCUAACGCGGUUAUCCUUCUUCCUUCUGUUUCUUUCCUUGAAUAAUGGUCGGAUCAAAAUUUGAUCUCGUUAUCUACUUUUUUAUCUGAAAAUACUUUGUGUUUACACCCCAAAAGGGGCAUGAUAUAGACAUGUAAUUUUACCUCUCUCGAAGUUUAAUUUUAUUUAUUUUUACCUCACCUUAUCAUACACCCUCACCCAUGUAAUUAUACCCCAUAAAAAUACAAAAAAAAAUAACAAAAUUUUAAUAAAUCCCUAAUAAAUUUUAUCUCUAAAUUUCCACAUAAUUUCAAUUUGAACAAACUAACAACCCUUUCCUUUCAAGUUUUGACACAUAACCACCCCACACUCUACCUCACUACCUAUCCCACGUGGUCCCCACCUUCCUAACAAACUCACGCAUUCACCACACUCACCUCACAAUUUCCAUUAACAUAUUACAUACACAUACACGCAAUAAAAUAUACACAUUGUCACGGGCCCCACCACUAACAAACUCACACCCAGACAAUACGGAUCCACACAACAAUAAAAUAUACACAUUCCAAUUUUUGUUUUCUUUUCUUCUUCACUGGAAGUUACACUCAACACCCACAGAUGCACAUACUCCUCCAUAACACACCAGAAUUUAUCUUCCACACCAUCACAUAUAGAGUAGAUUGAAGAUAACACUACACACGCACACACAGUGAGAUCGAGAACGGGAGGGGGUGAAAGAUAAAGAAAACUGAAUGGAGAGAUCGAGAGGGAAGGGAGAAGAAAGGGAGGAGAUUGAGAGUGACAAAAUCGUGAGAAUAGGGGAGAAACAGAGGGGAAAACGAGAGAGAGAGACUGACGGCGAGAUAGGGUGUUUUCGGUGAAUUUCUCAUCGGAAUCGCCAUCGAAAAAUACCCUCCAUCGCUGUAUUGUCACGGUUACGAUUAAUUUGUGGCCGGGAAACACCACCACUUUCGUUUCUGGCCCACGCACCAUCAAUUUCCAUUUCCGAUCAAACUGCUCAUCGGAAUCCCAUCAGAUCGGAAUUGGUUAUCCCCCGCCGGAAAAUACCUCCAAAGCGACGAUCGCUGCUCCGAUUCAGUGGCGAAACCACCAUCGAACAGUGAAUCUCUCUUCCUUGGCUGUUCUUUUUUCGUAUUGUCGAGUUGGCUUCAAGUUGAGGUCGUUGUUGGGUUUGAGAUUUGCGUGGUUCCGGUCGUGGCUCCUUCUCUAUGUAUUGUUGAAAUUCUUUGAAGAAACUCGUGAUUAAGCCCCGAUUUGAGGUUUAAUUUUAUGUCGUUCUCAUUUUGAUUUUAUUAUAUACGUGUGAUUGAUUAGUAUCGUCUCGAUUUUUUUUCUUAUUUUAUGCGUGAUGUGAAUGAUGAUGUUAUAUUAUACUGAUGAUGGAUGGUUAAAAUUAUUAAUCGUGAAUUGUGAAAAUUUGGUGUUAAAAGAAAAAUCGGGGUAGAAUUGAGAAAUUGAUAAAAAGGGUAAAUUUGAAUUGAUUGAGAUUCAUUGAUUUUGGUUUAAUUAGGUUUAAGUAUGAAUAUUGUUGAACACGAUAGUUGCAUGAUUAGGCUGUUAAAUCGAUAGGCAAACGUAGGUUGGGGUAGACAAAGUUUAGAAUUUGUGGUUUUAUUGAAUGUUUGAAAGUUUGCUAAAUUGUUUGUUUUUCUCGCAUUGAAAAAUGUACUUAUUCACUGAGAAAUAUCCCGAGCACACAUUAUAUUUAUUCACCGAAAAAUGUCCUGACGUAUCAUGUAUACAAGGAGGUUCGUGAGGAAGGCCCAAGGCAUCGGGUAAAUUAUCGGAGCUUAGUCUAGAAUUAGUUUAGAAUAUGAUUUACAUUUUCAUAUUUUUCUAUUUUUGGGACUGUAUAACUCGGACUGGACAUUAUUUUGAUUUUGAACUUUGUUUGAUUUGUUGUUGCUUGUUUUAUGUGCUUUAUGUGGUUUAUACAUUUAUAGUGUCAAAUUAGUUGAUAUGCUCCGUCGAGCGACCGUGGUUGAAUCAUGGGAUCGAGGAGUACCUAACACCUUUCCCUCGGUCAACAGAAUUUCUUAACCAAAAUUUUUGUUUGCGGAUCAGUUUUUAGAGUCAAACUUUUUUGAAAAAAAAAUUUCCAAGGUGACUUGGCACACCCGAUCUAUGCCAAGACUCUGAAUUUGAAUGUAAAAAUAAUCUUUUUUCCAAACAAAUCUUUACUUUUGUCACUUUAAUAAUAAAAACCCUUUCGAACCUUAAAAUUAAUAUCUUUUUUGGUUAAAAAAAAGAGGUGUGACAGUCUAUAGAAGCCAACUAAUACGAAAUGAAGGGAGCCGAAGUUUUCAAGUAAGAUUUGUAACUUAUUCAGUAAUCAUCAAACAAAAUACUUUCUCCAUUUUCUUUUAUGUACCACAUUUUGAGUAUUUUAAUAAUAUAUUUAAGAAAAAUAGAUGACUUUGAAACUUGAAUUUUAAAAUAUAUUUAGGUAUUUAUUUGAACGUAAAUCAUUUUACUAAGGAUUAAACAAAAAUUUAAAGUAUUUUUUUUCUAAUUCUAGUAAGGUAAUCCUUUUUUUUUUUUUUGAGACGGAUUAAAAUGAAAAG